GACGAACGCUGGCGGCGUGCUUAACACAUGCAAGUCGAACGGAAAGGCCCUGCUUUUGUGGGGUGCUCGAGUGGCGAACGGGUGAGUAACACGUGAGUAACCUGCCCUUGACUUUGGGAUAACUUCAGGAAACUGGGGCUAAUACCGGAUAGGAGCUCCUGCUGCAUGGUGGGGGUUGGAAAGUUUCGGUGGUUGGGGAUGGACUCGCGGCUUAUUAGCUUGUUGGUGGGGUAGUGGCUUACCAAGGCUUUGACGGGUAGCCGGCCUGAGAGGGUGACCGGCCACAUUGGGACUGGAAUACGGCCCAGACUACUACGGGAGGCAGCAGUGGGGAAGGGUGCACAAUGGGCGGAAGCAUGAUGCAGCAACGCCGCGUGCGGGAUGACGGCCUUCGGGUAGUAAAGCGAUUCCGCCUGUGACGAAGCGUGAGUGACGGUAAUGGGUAAAGAAGCACCGGCUAACUACGUG
rnacentral:rRNA from 1 species